UAAAAAAAAACAUGCUUUCAAUAACAAACACGAAUUGUGAAGACGACAACCACGUACCUAUAGCGUGUAAUGAAUCUGACCAAAACGAUCUUCUUGAAAACGACCCUUUGGAAGGAUGUGAUGAAUUUGUAUUACGGCCGCUCGAUCCUCUUGAAGAAAAUGUACCAGUUCCUGAUGUAUUGGAAAGAAAUGCAUUGUUAUACGUCACUGGAUAUUCAAUAUCUAAGCUUACUCACAAAAAAUGUAUUAAAAAGCUAAACCAGUCACAGGCUGACGACGCACACGAUUACACUUUCUGCUUGCUGAAAAAAAACCUCAAUUCGAAACACUUCAUAGUUCCAAGUAAAAAUGCGUUAAAAAUAGGUCUGGAUGUUCUGAACGCAUUCAAGCAAAAGUUCCAGAUAUUAUUGAAUGACAAUAGGAAAGGUAUUAAACUACGACUGAAAGAAUAUAUCGAAUACGAUCAAUAUGAAUCCGUGAUGUGCUAUAACUGUUUCAAUAAGGUUAUCAAUAGACUCUUUAAUACAUUCAUUAAAGCAGAGGUUCGAAAAAUUCAGCAGAAAAAUCUUAACAAUAAAAAUACCAAAAGAAUGAAAAAGAACACAAAAGCCAGGAGGCUGGGUAUCCCGAGUAAUGUACAAACAUCCAGAAAGAAUAUGAAAUCUCGUACAACGAAAUCGACCUGUUCUACAUCCACUACACGAAAUGAUAGCAAUGUCCAUAGCCAACCAUUUGAAACAGAAUAUGUAAACUGUCCUGAUGAUGGAUUUGAACAUAAUACGGAAUAUGUUAAUGAAGAAAACCCUCUUGAUGUUGACGGCGAAAAUAAUAGCCAAUCAGGCGAAGAUCAGGAAAACCAAAAAAUGAACGAAUGCAUUAAAGCGCUAGAAGAAUUACUGAAACAUUUACCAGAACAACGAAAAAUUGAAGUCGAGAAAAGAGAUUGCUUCCGAUUAACAAUAGCUGAAAUAAACGACACAUUUGCAGAAUUCAAGCCUGAACUCCAAUGUAUUUUCGACAAGUAUAAAACAUUUUCCAGUUAUCAAUUGGCCAAAAUUCACACGUUGGCUUCAUUUGAACAAGUCUGUCGAAUUUUUACGGAUGACCAACUUUACGCGAUGGUAUUAUAUCUAGACAGCCAACUGGUUUCACCUGAAGAUACAGGAUUGUUCACCGACGUUAUUGACGACGUUCUCGUGUAUGAAUGGGCAAUAAGAAUCUUUACUAAAAUUUAUCGUUUUCCUAAUCGUGAAGAAGCCCUUAAACAUAUACAACUACAAGAAGAGGCGGAAAUUUACAAUUGACAUAUAGAAUCUGACCCUAAAUAGAUACUGCCAGCACCAUCACCAUUCACAUCGUCAUCAUAAUGUCCAGCCAAACCCGACAGCUGCUCCCCCAGGAAAGAAGACGCACAUCGUACGCAACAACUACAGCAUCCGCAACGGGGAGGUUUUCGUGGAAAACAAGCUAAGUGGAACGCCAAAACUACACCAGCAGCAGCAGCAACGACCCAGGGAGGACGAUACCGAUGACAUCACCACCGAAGAAAUGAAGGACUGGUUAUCGAAAUACGUAAUACUACAUGCUGUGAAUGAAGCGGAGCACCCGCAAAAAUAACCUCAUCUCGCAGAAGAAUGCCAACGUAACAACAAAUCCUUCGGAUAUGCUGAGCAGUAAGUUUGGACCGCUGCCUUCGCUUUCGCCGCCGAAAGUGUACGUCAGCGAUCGGCCCGAUAUUCGCCAUGAAGAUCACCGAGAAGAAGUGGGAUAUUCCCGCCGUACAACGUACCAUGG